AAGUUGUAAACCUCGGGGGUUUUUUUUUCGGGGGGGGGGGGCAGGGAGGGAUCAUUACCGAGUUUACAACUCCCAAACCCAAUGUGAACGUUACCAAACUGUUGCCUCGGCGGGAUCUCUGCCCCGGGUGCGUCGCAGCCCCGGACCAAGGCGCCCGCCGGAGGACCAACCAAAACUCUUUUUGUAUACCCCCUCGCGGGUUUUUUUUAUAAUCUGAGCCUUCUCGGCGCCUCUCGUAGGCGUUUCGAAAAUGAAUCAAAACUUUCAACAACGGAUCUCUUGGUUCUGGCAUCGAUGAAGAACGCAGCGAAAUGCGAUAAGUAAUGUGAAUUGCAGAAUUCAGUGAAUCAUCGAAUCUUUGAACGCACAUUGCGCCCGCCAGUAUUCUGGCGGGCAUGCCUGUCCGAGCGUCAUUUCAACCCUCGAACCCCUCCGGGGGGUCGGCGUUGGGGAUCGGCCCUCCCUUAGCGGGCGGCCGUCUCCGAAAUACAGUGGCGGUCUCGCCGCAGCCUCUCCUGCGCAGUAGUUUGCACACUCGCAUCGGGAGCGCGGCGCGUCCACAGCCGUUAAACACCCAACUUCUGAAAUGUGACCUCGGAUCAGGUAGGAAUCCCCAAUUU
rnacentral:rRNA from 1 species